UACGUAGGGCGCAAGCGUUAUCCGGAAUUAUUGGGCGCAAAGAGUUCGUAGGCGGUUUGUCGCGUCUGCCGUGAAAGUCCGGGGCUCAACUCCGGAUCUGCGGUGGGUACGGGCAGACUAGAGUGAUGUAGGGGAGACUGGAAUUCCUGGUGUAGCGGUGAAAUGCGCAGAUAUCAGGAGGAACACCGAUGGCGAAGGCAGGUCUCUGGGCAUUAACUGACGCUGAGGAGCGAAAGCGUGGGGAGCAAACAGG
rnacentral:rRNA from 1 species